UGGAUAGAGGCGCGGUGCGAAUCAGUAAUCAGCCGAGGGGACACCCUAAAACACUGAUGAAAGGUCAAACCGCCGAAACCGCAAGACCGUAAGUCUUGUGCAGUUGGGCAUGGAGAGAAUAUCCCCAUGACUCCCACGGGCCUGAAAACCUGUGGAGGAGCUAU
rnacentral:ncRNA from 1 species